CCUUGGUGCACAUACUUCUUUAUGUACCCAUAUGAACAUAUGAUAGCUAUGGAAUGUAAAGAAGUAUGUAUUCCUGGU
rnacentral:pre_miRNA from 11 species